CCCAGUGUGGCAUAGUGGUAAGGAGCAGGACUCAUAACCCAAAGGUUUCUGGUUCAAAUUCCCCACUGGGG